CCCUAGCCCCGAUAGAAGUGGAAAUCCUUUUGCUUUUUUCUUUAAAAAGCAAAAGAUUGAAACGGAUAGCGGGAAUAGCU
rnacentral:sRNA from 2 species